CCUACGGGUGGCAGCAGUGAGGAAUAUUGGUCAAUGGGCGCGAGCCUGAACCAGCCAAGUAGCGUGAAGGAUGACUGCCCUACGGGUUGUAAACUUCUUUUAUAAAGGAAUAAAGUGAGGCACGUGUGCCUUUUUGUAUGUACUUUAUGAAUAAGGAUCGGCUAACUCCGUGCCAGCAGCCGCGGUAAUACGGAGGAUCCGAGCGUUAUCCGGAUUUACUGGGCGUAAAGUGGGCGUAGGCGGGAUGUCAAGUCAAGGGUGAAAUCCCCGCGCUCAACGUGGGAAGUGCAGUUGAAACUGGCAGACUUGAGUGUGGGAGAGGAGGGUGGAAUUCCAGGUGUAGGGGUGAAAUGCGUAGAGAUGAGGAGGAACACCAGUUGCGAAGGCGGCUAUCUGGCACAUAACUGACGCUGAGGAGCGAAAGCGUGGGUAGCAAACAGGAUUAGAUACCCGUGUAGUC
rnacentral:rRNA from 1 species